rnacentral:snoRNA from 1 species
ACUUGCCGAUCAUGCUGACACCAUCUACUCGGGCCUGGUUGACUGGCCUCCCCGAGUUCACCAUCAUCAGCUGGGUCGAGCUGAAGGCUCAGUU